AGCGGCGGACGGGUGAGUAACGCGUGGGCAACCUGCCCCAUACAGAGGGAUAGCCACUGGAAACGGUGAUUAAUACCUCAUAAGUCAGUAGUGCCGCAUGGCAUAGCUGACAAAGAUUUAUCGGUAUGGGAUGGGCCCGCGUCUGAUUAGCUAGUUGGUGAGGUAACGGCUCACCAAGGCGACGAUCAGUAGCCGACCUGAGAGGGUGAUCGGCCACACUGGAACUGAGACACGGUCCAGACUCCUACGGGAGGCAGCAGUGGGGAAUAUUGCACAAUGGGCGCAAGCCUGAUGCAGCAACGCCGCGUGAGUGAUGAAGGCCUUCGGGUUGUAAAACUCUGUCCUAUGGGAAGAAUAAAAUGACGGUACCAUAGGAGGAAGCCCCGGCUAACUACGUGCCAGCAGCCGCGGUAAUACGUAGGGGGCAAGCGUUAUCCGGAAUCACUGGGCGUAAAGGGUGCGUAGGUGGCUUAUCAAGCCAGAGGUGAAAGGCAUUGGCUCAACCAAUGUAAGCCUUUGGAACUGAUUAGCUUGAGUGCAGGAGAGGUAAGUGGAAUUCCUAGUGUAGAGGUGAAAUUCGUAGAUAUUAGGAGGAACACCAGUGGCGAAGGCGACUUACUGGACUGUAACUGACGCUGAGGCGCGAAAGCGUGGGUAGCGAACGGGAUUAGAUACCCUGGUAGUCCACGCC
rnacentral:rRNA from 1 species